rnacentral:rRNA from 1 species
CGGGGUGCACCAGGCGCGAAAACUUUACAAUGCUGGCAACAGCGAUAAGGGGACCUCGAGUGCCAGGUUACAAAUCUGGCUGUCGUGAUGCCUAAAAAGCAUUGCAUAGCAAGGGCCGGGCAAGACCGGUGCCAGCCGCCGCGGUAACACCGGCGGCUCGAGUGGUAACCGUUAUUAUUGGGUCUAAAGGGUCUGUAGCCGGCCGGAUAAGUCUCUUGGGAAAUCCAGCAGCUCAACUGUUGGGCUUUCAGGAGAUACUGUCUGGCUCGAGGCCGGGAGAGGUGAGAGGUACUUCAGGGGUAGGGGUGAAAUCUUGUAAUCCUUGAAGGACCACCAGUGGCGAAGGCGUCUCACCAGAACGGACCUGACGGCAAGGGACGAAAGCUAGGGGCACGAACCGGAUUAGAUACCCGGGUAGUCCUAGCCGUAAACGAUACUCGCUAGGUGUCGACCACGGUGCGACCGUUGUCGGUGCCGUAGGGAAGCCGUGAAGCGAGCCACCUGGGAAGUACGGCCGCAAGGCUGAAACUUAAAGGAAUUGGCG